CCCUUAGAUGUUCUGGGCUGCACGCGCGCUACACUGACGUACGCAACGAGUGUCCUUUACCGAGAGGUAUGGGUAAUCAUUUGAGUGUACGUCGUGAUGGGGAUAGAAUAUUGUAAUUAUUACUCUUCAACGAGGAAUUCCUAGUAAGCGCAAGUCAGCAGCUUGCGCCGAUUACGUCCCUGCCCUUUGUACACACCGCCCGUCGCUCCUACCGAUGGGUGAUCCGGUGAAUGAUUCGGACUCGGUUGCCUCUAGCCACUAGUGGCGCUCGAGAAAGUUUUGUGAACCUUAUCACUUGGAGGAAGGAGAAGUCGUAACA
rnacentral:rRNA from 1 species